GAGGCGGGAGCCCCGAAUGCGGUUCUCGCUUGCUGCGUGGCGGUAAAGGACCGCAGGUGUCGUAAAAGGGCCGCAGUGGCAGCGCCCUGGCCGACGGCUAGUAGCCCAUUUUGGAUACCGUCCUCGCUGCGGAAAGUUGGGGCAACCUGUUGCCAGUCUGGUCGUUGGUGACAGCGAGGCUUCCGCGCUCGCUGCUGGUGAGCAGCCCCGGCGUGCCCCGCGGACUGGAAGAGGCGGCGGCGUGAUGCGGCCCGUGGACGCGGACGAGGCGCGGGAGCCCCGCGAGGACCCGGGCAGCCCGCUGAGCCCCGCGCCCCGCGCCGGCCGCGAGAACCUGGCCUCCCUGGAGCGCGAGCGCGCCCGGGCGCACUGGCGGGCCCGCAGGAAGCUGCUGGAGAUCCAGAGCCUGCUCGACGCCAUCAAGAGCGAGGUGGAGGCAGAGGAGCGGGGCGCCCGGGCCCCAGCACCCCGCCCGCGUGCGGAGGCUGAGGAGCGGGUGGUCAGGCUGUGCGCCGAGGCAGAGAGGAAGGCCGCGGAGGCGGCGCGGAUGGGCAGGCGGAUCGUGGAGCUGCACCAGCGGAUCGCCGGCUGCGAGUGCUGCUGAGCCGGCGGGACCGCGCGGGUCUGGAGCGGAGCGCGGCGGGGAGUGUCCCGCGUGGAAGGCGCUGGGUAGGCAGGGAGGGGAGCGCAGAGCCGUGCCACGCUCUCCGCCGAGUUGGUUUCAUUCUUUUUUCAUAGGUAAUUAGAGAAAAUAAUUUGAUAUGUUGUUGUAAAGAGUCAUGACCACUGAAAGUAUUUUCAGGACGUAGACCUGCUGGGUCACUAGGUGGGGGGAGAGAGGUGUGAAGCGGAGGUACAUGCUGGAAACGUGUGAAUGUUGUUACGAGAUUGGAGCGUUUGCGAUGACCUUCUUGCAGGUGGAAGCAUUGUGCACAGGUGGUUGGGUUUGUUUGACUCCCGGAUAUGAGAAUAUCAAGCUCAAAAUUUAUGUUGUGAUGAUGAAUUUCUCCCACUUGUACUUUAGGUGGCCAACUGACGAACUGUGUUCACCUGAUAAGGAGUCCUGGCUGCUUGGACAGGCUCAAACCAAGAGAGCCUUUCGUUUUGUCUCCCCUGUUUUUCUGCCUGCGUUUUCUCCACAUUAGCCACUCAAUUUCCAGUACCAUCCUGGCGGAUGACUUCAGCAUUAGAUGGUCAGGUGUAUUUUUUUAUUAAUAGGCGCAUUCAGUUUGGAAAAGACAGCUUUUCAUUAAUGUCCCACGUAAAGGAAUAUGGCCUAUACAGUACGUACGCUGCUGCGUGGUCAUAUUUGUUCCUGUGAUCUUAUUGUAUUUUCAAAGUUUGGAAGUAUACUCGUGUGCUUUGCUAUUUUUUUAUGCUUCCUGGAAUUUGGGGACCCAUGAGAGACUUGAGGUUAGAGUUCUGCAAGUGAGAAGACACUACAUGGUUGCAGCUGCCACAUGAAGAACCCAAGCUCCUGUCAAAGUUGUGAAUGCGACUUUGGAUGAGAUUAAGAAGGCCCAGUGGACGGUUGGUCUUGAAGAGUGGCAGUGUGUGGAUUUGAGGACCUCUGCAGACCAUCAGAUCAAAGGAGGGAGAGCUGUUUUGGGUGUUUUGUUUUUUUUGUUUUUAUAGCAUUUUGCUUUUUCCUGGAAUGUAAUUUUCCUGUGGCAUGUUAACUGGUGCACAUCGUGUGUAACCUGUCUGGUGAGCAACCUACAAUUGGGAUGAGUUCUAGGUACAUGUGUUUGCUGACUUUGGGGUAAACAACUUUGUUAUAAUACAGUCUCUGCCACAGAUGCAUGUGACCCCUUCAGGGGCCCAGAGUGGCUGAGGAAGGAAAGCUUCAAGCUGGCCAUGGGGGUCCCAAACAGUCAUUCCAGGCUUAGAUGAUGACUAGCCUAGGUCAUCAGAGCCCAGACUCCACAGAGACUAAAAUCAGAGCUCUGUCUUGUUAUGAUAAAUUUCAUUUGCUUGGAAAAACAAAUGCUGAAAGCCAGUUUUUAGAAUCUUUGUGCAGAUGACCAAAGCAAUUGACUUGGCCAAG
rnacentral:lncRNA from 1 species